AGAAGAGUUCAAUUACAAUUGAAUGUCUUCAUGAAUUGGGGGAUUUUGGCCUACAUGAAAUCAGGAAGUUCAAUCAAAAGAAGACGUCUUCAGGCAUUAGAUGUCAACGAAUGGCUGGGCAAUGAACAACAUAAAAGAAAGUUUAUUUAUCAUUCUGUGUUUUUCUCACUGCUCUCGGCGGAAACGACACUCGUACUUCUGAGUCUAUACUACUACACGAUUCCUGCACUUGGGAUUAG
rnacentral:lncRNA from 1 species